ensembl:lncRNA
CUGGGACAGAACAGCAGCCACUGCUGCCACGUCUGGGUGGGGAGAGCCUGCAAGGUGCCAGGCACCUAACAUCCAUCGUCUCCCCCCUCAGCACCCCUCUCGAGAGGCACUUCAUUAAGCUCAUUUCACAGAUGGGGAGACUGAGGCUCCGAGACGUCAUCGCCUUGUCCUGUAUCUCAUAGAGAGUGUCUGUGGCAGAAAUCAUCAGGAGGGUGGCGUCUCCCCAUCCCCUGUGCUGGCCACGGGUGUCUCCUGACCACAUGCCACCUGAGUGCAUCCGGCUGAUGGAGCAGUGCUGGGAGGAGGCCCCUGAGGACAGACCCAGCCUGGACCAGACCUACCCCCAGUGGCCAUCCUUAAGGAGCAUUGUUAUCAUCUUGGCUUUACAGGAGAGAAACUGAGGCACAGAGAGCUCCCACAGGGCCAACCCAUCCAGCCCGAGGUGACACGCGCAGGCCUCCCCUUCCGCCCUCCACUCCCCAGCUGCAGCAGCGCGUUGCCGAGGAGAGGCUCAGCAAGGAGAGGUGCGCCCAGACAGGCAAUGAGGGAGCGAGGGGCAGGAAGACGGAUCGAGGAGAAACUCACGGUGUCCUCUGAAAAGCCUCACCACGUGCCCUCCCCACCUCAGCUCUGGCAUCCGGGGCACUGUCUACACUUCACAGACGAGAAAUCUGGACCUCAGAGCAAAUGAGCGCUCAGUGGCCACAUGAGGGUGGGUGCAGAGCCGGGACAAGCAACUGGUUCUUAGAACCCCAGCAGGGACUCUUUCCAGAGAUCGGAGAUUGCCGUGGCCAGCAAGGCGGGGCGACCGUGGGGGAAGAUGCUGCCUCAGGCCCAGCGGCAGAGGAGGCAGAAAAGGGCACAUGGUACAAUCAGCACAUGGAAGGUGGGGAGUGCGUCGGGGGCUGAGGGUCCGGAUGCCUGCAGAAUGCUGGCCUGGGCAAGUUGAUUCUCUGUCGAGCCUCAGCCUCCUUAACAGUUGCCUGGGAAGACCGACUCUGGCCUAACUUGCCAUACUGGAGAGACCAAUGUUAAGUAAAAAAAAACGAAAGAAAAAAAGGUGAUUCCCUGAAAAGGAGAGAGUGGGUGAGGAACUGGAGAAAGAGCACGGACCUUGAAGUCAAAAGACCCGAGUUUAAGUUCACUUAACAUUGUUCUGGGAGUACCAGCCGACGCAAUUAAACAGGAAAACGCAUAUUAGAAAGGAAGAAGAAAAUGAUGGUAUUUGCAGAUCCUAUGACUGUGCUCCUGGGCAAUGCAAGGGAAACAGUGUAACAUUCCAAGUGAUAAAAUAAUUCAGCAGGCUGGCAGAUGACAAGAUUAAUAUAUAAAAGUGCGAAAGCCAGUUCCACCACGGUGAGGUCCUCGCCAGUCGUUUCACCUCUCAGAUCCUUCGUUUCUUCAUUUGAAAGGGAGCCCUCCUUGCAGGUAACCUUGUAGUCAGCUUCGUGUCCUUGGUGUCUCAAGGUCAUCAGCUAUCACGCCCACCCCCACUGACCUUUAAUGCUUAUGCCUCUGCCUUUAACAGGUAAUACAAAAUGGGGGGACUUUGGGGGCCGCUG